GAGAAGGCUAGCAAGCAAAGCAAACUAAGCAAGUUCAUUAAGGCUCCUAUUAGGAUCUUGACCAAGGCCAGGGACUUUUACAUCAAAAGCAUGACAGAAUACUCCGAUCGGCUCGGUUAUGGCACAGUCACGGGUUGCCCUACAGGCCAAAUAGUGAAUAACUUGCCUAAGAGUUUUAGUGUGAAUUCAACAAAAACAACCAACCAUGAUGAUGAUUAUAGAGAGCUUGUAAGGGCUGCUUCCACCAGAGGUUUAAGCAGUAGGGUUCAGUUGGAUCUUCUUCAAAGACAGCAAUCUCAAU
rnacentral:misc_RNA from 1 species